AUGGGACACCCAGAACACCGGAGGGGACGGUGCAUUUCAAGGGUCACAUCGAGGGAUGGAAGCUUAAGGUGUGAAGGAAGGGCUCGGGGCAGACGGUCUCCGCUCCGCAACUGUCCCAGGAGGAGGCCGCCCUGUCCUGGAAGGCUCCGCAGGGCGCUGCCUCUGCACACUGCCUGGGUCCCAGCCAAGUCCAUCUGGGUCCAUUCUCUGAGCAGUUGGACGUCUUCGCCUAAACCCAUCUAUACAUGGUCUGACCACAUCAGUAGGAUUCUUUUAGCUCAAGAAGAAAUUUUUGAUGACUACAGAGGAAAUAAUUUCUUGUUUAAGUGCAAGAUGAGUCAAAUUUUUAUUAUUUUUCUCACUGACCAAGACAUCUUUACUUACUGCAGGUCCCCGUCCUGCCUGGCAUGCGACCCCUGCCUGGCAGCAGGGAUGGAACCGUGCCAGCCAGCGGGCAGAACUGAACAACUCACUGAGGGGAAAAGGAAAAGACAAAGAGGGCCCCGCUUGCUCCCCUCCCUGCCCAUGGCAAACUGCAGCUCCUGGCGCUGAUGAAGCACAGAACUUUCCACGACACCUGUGGCCACUGAGUCACUGUGAGCACCUCAGGACUUCAGUCACCAGGAACCUCAACCCUGUUGCGACGGUGUGUGUCACCAAGGGCAGCUGUGAUCACAUUCUCUGUGCAGGGACUCAGCAGUAACAGCCCCCUAGGUCAUAGGUCAUAGGUCAUAGGUCAUAGGUCAAGCUCCUACUUUAUAUCACCAGGUUAUGACCAAUGGGCUCCAGGCCCAGCUGGGCAGGCGCUUCGCUGGACAUGCUCAGAAGCUGCACAGUGGGAACCGGGAAGGGCUGGGCGCGUGGUGUUUCAGGAGCUAAUCAAAGCCCGCAGCAAAAGGCUUUCCUGAGGGCGACAGUGUCAGCUUAGCCCCUGCACUUGGUACACUUUCCCUCUAGACUGCAGCUAGAGGCCACCUCCUCGAGGGUCCCACGGGCAGAGGUGGGAACACUGCAGUGCGGUCUGGGCCACACCUGUGGCGACUGUGAAUUUUAUUUUGGCACGGCCAUGAGACCCCUCUCACAUCCUUUGUACCCCCAGUUCUUAGCACGGCACUAGCUCAGAGUGGGGAGCGCACACGCACACCUGCCCUCCUACACGGACGGGCACCAGGUUUAUAUGCAAAUGCACAGCCACAGGGCCGGCGGCCAGACAGCCCUGAAGCCGGCCUUACACAACCAAUAUUUAUACUCUUGAAUUUUUUUCACUUUUCCCCCCAAUUCAGGCUAUUCAUAUUGAAUGUAAUUAUGACAAAUUUUCUCAAAAAAAGCUGCAAAUGGCUUUUGAAAAACAAGGACACUAGGCUUUCGUCAGAGUAAUGAAUUACACCUAGUCUUUUAGGAAUUCAUAAUGAUGUUCAUCAUCAGCUUCUCACACAGUCACAGUUACCAUGGUGAGCACUUUGACCAGCUGUACACACUGGGCACAGAAGCAUAAUACUGGUUAUGCAACUUGCUGUAUUUUAGCUCUGCAGUGUAGAAAUCUUUGUUUCAAGCACACCUCUGAGUAAGGACGUUCUCAUAUUGCAAGGAAACUCAGUGAAUUGGGGCCAUAUUCCUACAUUCCAUCCCAGUGGCAGGUGGGGUUGUGAAUAGACACUGAAAAGCAAUAUUCAUUAAAUAUUCACAAGUAAACUUAAACCUUGUGGUUAAGAAAAUGACAACAAUGAAGUUAGUUUUCUUCUAACUCUUCUCACCUACUCCUUAAAUUGAUUAAAGAAUUCUGAACAGCUACA
rnacentral:lncRNA from 1 species